GGUGAAUUGUGUUGGUGAUGAGACUCGGUGCCUGAUUGCAUCAGGAACGGGAACAAAGGACAGUAUUCCAUCUCCUUUUGUCACAGCAGCAUGUGCCACUGAAAAUCUCUGCCAGGGCCCCGCAGAUUUUGACUUUUUCCCUGUAAAAUUGGAUGGGUCUGCACAUUGUUGUUCAUCCUCGCUGUGUAACAAUGUUACAUUGCAACAUGUCAUUUCACUCGAGGCUUCUCACCAUGGCUCUUCCAGGAAUUGGAAAUUAGGUUAAAAGGCUGACAGUGUUGGAGUAGAGUCUGUCCCAGCCUGUAACCAUAGUUAGGGUGGGACAGCGAGAUUCUUUGAAGGAUCAAUGCAAAGGUGUAUUGGUUUCAAGCUCUUUAAUUUGGCUCGGUCACUAUCUUAAUGCAGCAAUUAAAGUCUUUCUUUAUGUGUUAAUGAGUGUACAAGAUUGAUGAUUUGUAUUCAGAAUUUGACUGCGGAUUGAUGUGUUCAGCAGAACUUGCAGAAAUAUUGUUAUUUUUUGCCUUACAGACUUGCUUGUAGCUACGUACACCCAUAAUGAGUGAGAAAGAGCUACAAGGGCUGUGUGGCAUCACUGUGUAAGUGGCCAGCUGAGUGUGGGACACAUGAAUACACCAUGUAGCGGACACAAGUGCCUCAGCUGUGCAGUGAAAUGUCCAGAGAUGACUCAAAUUGGUAGCCUCAGGGAAAGUAGCAGGGCACUGCGAGCCGAAUGGGGAAUAUUUGAAAUGUUUUUUUUUUGUUGUGAAUUGAAUGGAGAAACACCAAAAGUGGAGUAAUGAAUGAGGCAAAGGAGGCAGAGAGAAAAGGAUUUUAGAACAUCAAAAACUGAGACGGAAAUAAGUGUGCAUUGCUAACUUAACUGCACACACGCUGCGUGGAGUAAACAUCAUGUAGUCUUCUGGCACAUUGGUAAUGUUCAGACCACUGGCCCAGAAGACCAGGCCUUGUGUCCUACCUGUUCCAGAAAUAUGACAUAACACAUCUGAAAUGUUUGAUUAAAAUGCUUGUGUCCUUAUAGUGCAGGAGUAAUGUGUGAGAUCUAUGCCAGGAGGUCUAAAUUCAAGUCCCACCUGCGCCCGUUGUACCUGAAGAGGCUGAUUUGAAAAAUCUACAAUGAUUGCUCCAUUAAU